GACCUUGUAGCGUAAUGGAUAUCGCACCAGACUUCUAUUUUGAAAUCUGGGGAUUGCGGGUUCGAUUCCCGUCAAGGUUA
rnacentral:tRNA from 1 species